UACACGCUCGCCCUUUCUCAUGCCCUCCAUGGCGCAACCCUAGGUACCUCGACCGCACCGCCGCCUCUCAUCGUCUCGGCCCAGUCCCCCCCGCCCCCACCCCGUCCAUCACGCCGCCGCCGUCGCCUACAGUGAAGAAGCAGGAUCUCGCGACGUCAUCCACCAGGACCUCGCCGCCGCCUCUUCCAAUACUUCAGCGACGGUACAGCAAGGUCCAGCCGCCGCCUGCUUCCAGGAAUUCGCCGCCUCCUCCAAGGCCUCAGCGACGCUACAUCAAGGUCGAGCCGCCGCCUGGUUCCACCGCGGCCUCCAAUACCCUCUUCAAUCCCUCCGCUUUGAAGGCUUGAUCAGCUGAGAUGUCAUUAACCCGGAGCUCUUCUUCAGCCUCGAGUGGAACCGCUUCUCCUCCCAGCGAACAGGGUUCAGUUUCUGGUGAAGAACAUAUCUUCAACAGGGAUGGAUUUGCUGAGUUGGAGACCUGGGAAGACCCCACUCCUAGGCCAUCACCCUUUACUCUCAAGGAGCUGGGUGAUGCCUGGGUUGCUGCUGCAAAGCGCCAGCUCAUUCGCAGGCCCAAGACACCGCCCCGUGAGGAGCUGCUAAGGCGCAGCCAAGAGCAUGACCAGAAGAGUUUGAUAAUAGCGUUGAACGUCUAUGCCAAGCAAAACAAUAUGCAACCUACUGACCUCGAGGUAAUAGAAGUGAAAGCAAGAAACCUAAUCAUCGAGGGGGGAAAGGGAUACGUACACUUUAACUUGUGAAAAUGCAAGGUGACCCAUCUAGUUUGUUCUUUGCGGAGGUGCAUCCAGAUUGUAGAGAGGAGGAUGUGUAUCUUUGCACCCCUUUGGAAGCUAAUGACUCGGGUAACUGUUAUGGGUGCAAGGACCGUGCAAAAGAGCUUUUGCAUCCCACUAGCGGUGGCUACUUGGGUGGGCACAAAGAUGUUGUUUUCCCCUUCAUUUACGGAAGUGAUGAAGAAAGUGAAGAUGAGGCCUGAUUUCUCUUGGUUUCUUGCUUAAGUCUUAAUCUGAUGUGCUAGAGGGGUUAGUCUUAAUCUGAUGUGCUAGUGGGGUUGUGUACGACAAGAAAUGGUGUGGUGCUGGUUUGUGGUCGCAUCAAUUUGUUCUUUUUUCCUUUGACUUUGAACUCAGUUCUUUGGUGGAUUGUACUCUGAGUAGAGAGAGCUGGCCUUAUGGUAAGGUGUUGCGAAGUUGCAAAAGAUUGAUUGAAAUUUCCUCUA